UAUUUCCGCCUAUUCUUUGGACUUAAGUUCGGAAUACUUUUGAAAUUAUUUUAGCAAUAGUAAACACUUCUCAUCGUCGCUGCCCUACCGCCAUUGCUAUCUGUCUUCUCUAUUUUACCGUCGCCAGCCACCAAUCCCAGGUAACACAAAUGAUAUCUCUCUCUCUCACUGAUAUAUAAAUAUGUAUAUAAAAUUUUGCAGAGUUUGGAUGGGAGAGAGAUCUGGGUAAAUGUUGCUGAAGAUAAAUCCAAGCGCAGCUAUGAGUCUUUCAAAAUUUUGAUUUAGGCUCGAAUUAAAAAGAUUAUGCAAGAUGAUGAGGAUGUGCGGGUGAUUAAUGGCAUGGUUGUCCCUCUUUUAAUCUGUAAGUGCUCUUGAAAAGUCACAUAGUUCAGUGAACUAAGUUAACAUCUUUUAGUUCGUAUUAUCAUGUAUGAAGUAGGAUUUAAAGAAAUCUUGGUAGAUUAUGCUCAGUUCACGCUAAGGAGUUUGAGUUGUCUUGUUUGAUUUAACAAACUUCAUAUGGUAAUUAAGUUCAAAUAAUACAAAAUACUCAUACUGUUAGGACCCAUAACAUUGAAAUGGAGGGUGUUUUUGAUGAAGCAUUUGUUAGCCUACUCAUAAAAAUUUCAGGACUACAAUAGAAGACAUUUUAAUAUUUUAUACAAUUGUACCAGAAAGAAUACAUACACAAUUCAAGCUAAUUAAGAUAUGUCAUCAAAGAAAGAAAACACAUCAUUUAUCGCAUACGGGAAGGCAUAUCAAUUAACUUAGCAUGUUAUCUAAGUAGGUAUCUUUGAAAUAUAUAAAAAACAAUUGACGGUCAAAACUAGAAUGCUACAUUUGUAAAAUGUUCUUAUGAGCAGCAGACUUUGAUCUAAAUAUUUGGUAUUGCUCACUAAAUUUUGAUUUAUAUGCUUUCCUCAACAUUUUACUAAAUAACUUUGAGCCAACACAGAAAACUCUGCCUUAUAUAGACAUUUUGGCUUCUUUAAUUCAUAACUUUUGUUGUAUGCUGGAGCAAAAAAUCUGUGUAUAGGCCCCAUUUUAGUUUUCUUUAUCUUUUCAGAUGUAGAUGUAGUUAAUUGUUGAAUUUAUCUACCACUUUAUACCUAUAAUAAUUCUGCCUAGAAUAAAUUGGGCAGCUUUGUUUUAUUAUCCAUACUGAAAUUUAGUUGCUUAAUCACUGGGAAGGCAAAAACGAGGAAUAUGUUAGAAAAGGUUUAUGUCAAUAGGUGAGAUAUUAUUUUAUGUAUAUGUAAUCAGUUUGCAUGAGCAUUAGAGUUCUAAUUUUAACUUUGGCUUUUUAUUUUUUACUGUCUAUUCAAAAAAUUGUCUAUUCUGCUAAUUUUAUCAACUAUAGAGAAGCCUCCCUUUUUAACUUGUGAGAAUUUGUAAGCAUGCCAAACAAAAUAUGUUUCUUUUUAGAAUCUAGAAGCUACUGAUAAUAAAAAAAUUCAAAGAACAAAGGAAAGGGUGAAAGAUAUACUAUUUUGAGAAUGUAAAUGUCCCAUAAUUAUUUUUUGAUUAUUGAUGGAUCUCACAUGUGGUUGUACGUAUACUCUUUUAUUUUAUCAUUUCACGUCAUACAUUAUGAUAUUUAGGAAUUUGGCAUGUGGAAAGCUUCAUUGUGAUCAAGAGCUUGAGAAUCUCGUGAUUCUUAUUUUCUAGUUUGUAGCCAUUUGAUAACAUAUUAUCAAAAGCUGAUAAUAGUAAUUAGAUUCAAAUAGCUUAGCUUUUUUAUUA